AAAUAUCUUAGCGGUAUGAGCCGACUUUAAAAUCUCAUGGUUCCACGUAACAUAUAGUGAUAUCCCUACGAUUCAUUACAUGUGGCGGAGAGCUCCCUAUAAAUUGGUCUGCCUGGGGGGCAUCUAGUCAAUAAUUAAGUUAAGGGAGUGGCGUUCACAUCUUGCUACAUAUAUAUUCUAUAUAGUAUAUUACCCUCAAGAAAAGAGACCAGAAGAAUACUAUAUUGCACUUCAAACGCAUCAGCAGUGACUAUGAGGAAGGCCUUUGUAGUCGGAUGCGUGCUCUUAGUUUGCACGCAUCUUAUUCUCAUAUCCACCGCUCCAGCUUCCGCAUCAGCUCGAGCACUCGUUGAGGAAGAGAAGUAUGUGGAUGGGCCUACAAAGAAGGUGGAAGCUGAUCAAGAUCAAUCAGCAAUUACCGGGGAGCUGAAGAGGUGUCGCCCGUACCACCGCUGUAUUCCGCCGUGAAUAGUCUCUCUCUCUCAUACGUCUAGUAGACUAUAGCUGUAAUGAAGAGCCUCUCCUAUACACACGCACACGCAUAUAUGUAUAUAUAUCAUAUAAAACAAAGAUGGAUAGGACGUAAAAAUACUGCAUGCGUGCGUGGUGCGCGGGAGAGGCAGAGUAUGAUUGAGUAAUAUACUCGACUAAUGUUGGAUAACUUAAUAGGAAUAAAAUCGUGUUAUGUAUGUAUCAUAUAUGUAUGUAUGUAUGUAUGUAUAUGUAAGCUGUUCCUGCAGUAUUUGCCUUGCCGAAUAAAAGAAAAGAAACCACCAGAGUCGAUCGAUAUUGGUUUCUUACUUUACUAAA